GCGAGCCAGGGCGCUCCCAGCAGACAGACGCACCCCCGCCUCUCCCGGAAUCUUUCCCGCGCUCCCCUGGCACGCCUCUCCCUUCUGCAGGUCCACAUCCACGGCCCCCUGAACAGGCACAGGUACCUAAUACCACACCCCCCCGCCCCCGCAAUCCGCUUUUCGGUUUACGGAGUUGACCUGCGCAGUGCAUUUCAUCAAUAAGAAAACACCCCGCCCCGCCCCCCCAGCACAGAGCUCGGUGUCUCCACUCACCCAGAAAUUUAAUGAAAAAAAUCAAAUCAUAUUUUGUCUUGUGUUUACGGGGAAACUCGUUUGCCAGCUUCUCCCAUCUCUACUUAAAAGAAAAUUUUUAAGGCGUUUGAUCUCUUGAGAGUUUCCAAUUUAAACUGUACUCCUGUGUCAGUCCGCAGAGAAUCCCAUGCCUUCCUUUGCAACCUGGGGACGGCGGGGGGACGUCCUUCUCCUAGGAUUGCAAAGGGAUGGCAGUGAGAAGGGUGGGAGGUCGCCAGUCGCUUUUCCCAAGUUUUCCAAAGGGGUCCUGGGAGCUUGGGCGGCAGCCCCAGUGAAGAAAGAACCAGAAGAUAGAUGGUGGCGUCUCAGAGGAAGCAUAGCCCUGGGAAGCACAUCCUCGCAUUCAUCAGCUCCCAGCCUCCCUGGAAUUGAACUUGGGGUGUCUGAGCAAGGAGGGAGGGGGAAAAGUAAAGGGCAUGUUGAUUAAACUAAUAGCUGCAUUUCCUGAACAUCUGAUAGGUGCCAGGCCUUCUAGGUGCUUCACCAGCACUAUCUCAGCCCUCCCAGGCCUAUGAGAAAGAUGGCCUCUGCUCCUCCUAAUGUUACAACCAAGAUCCAGCUGGCAGUUUUGGGGUAGGGACCCAAGUUUGUUGUAGAGACUCUUCCCCUAACUCUCUGGGAGCGAGGAGGUGAGAAUGGUUUUCCAUCCAUUUCUUCCAGAGAUGGUAUCUAUGGUCUUCCAUCACUGGUACAGACAGGUUGGGGUGCGGUGCUGGAGCAGUUGGUCUUAUCUUUUCAUUCUGCCACUUCCAGAGUUUGCAUGCAGCGGAUGGAACCUGCGUUCCAGUAUCCCCAAGACACUGCCGAUCCCAUCGCACCACAGCAGAAAAUCAGAAAAGAGAUUGUUAGCCUUUCAUGGUGGCUACUCUUGGCGAGCAGAAAUGAAAUGAACAAGAGAAGGUCCAGAAAUGUGACAGUGUUCAGGGCUGGCCCAGGCAACUGCUGAUCAUCUGCACUCAGAAGUAAACAAAACUUAAAAGACCUCUGUGCAAGAAGGGCUGAUUAGGACUCAGGCUUGGGUCCUCAUGGAACAAAUCCAUCAUAGGGCAAUCAUGCCCACUGCUGGUACCUCUGAAUGAAAUAAGGUGUUUUAGAGCAAAAACCUAAUUAAAGCUGUGGCUUCCGAAAAAGAUAGUUAUGAAUUAGAGAAAAUGCUUCAUGGGAGGAGGAAGAAAAUAGAGGUGUAGAACCCCCCCCAGAAAGUCAGUAGCCUCAAAUUAUCCACUGUUAGGUUGGUCUCGAGAAGGACCAUGGGUGCGGUUAAUGGCACAGAGAACUGCCUGGACAGAGAGGAGAAAGCCUAAGUGAUUUACAUGAGUCAUACUGCCAAAGGAACCAGCACCUGGACCAACCCAUUCAUGCCUAUUCAAGACUUGAAACAGCUUUUGGGCCCCUAAAUAUCUAUCAUCAAGAAGCAGGCAGAGAAAGCUGCCCAGUCUCCAAGGAGCAUACACCUGGCAAUGCCCAUCCCAGAUAGGACCAAAGAAGAUGGCAGAGAAAAAGGAAUAUUCCAGGAGGAGAAGCCAGGGGACAGAGCACUGUGGGCUAGGAACCCCUUCCAAACAGCCAGAUGAGGGCCUAAAUUAGAACCACCAUGGUCCAGUGAUGGCUAUACUGCUUCCAUCUCUCCCCUUUCUGAAAGGGAAUAUUUAUUAGGGUUACCUUAUUCCAAAUCAACCUUUGUCCAUUGUGUUGUAGGAAAGAGAAAAGCAUAUUAUCUGUUUGGUUCCCUGAGUUUCUGAUCUAGGACAAGCCAUAUCCAUAAUUGAUACAGGGACCAGAAUAUAUUCCUCUGUGAACAAAGACUGCACACCACUGGAGAGCCUAGACUUUGACCUUGGAAAAGACUUUUGGGUUGUCUCCCUUAGAGAGUGAGUGUAUUUGCCUCUGAGGUUCAAACAUUUCAUCAUCAGGAGGGUGAAGGAUGGUCAUCAUAGCUGCUAUUUACCAGAUAUUUCCAGUUCUCUCCCUCUGAACUCAGGGUAGUAUUGCAUCCUUCCUGGUCCACGUAGUGUUGGGCGGGGUCACAUGACUGGUUCCAGCUGACGUGUUAUGACAUGGGUGGAAUCUGGCCCACAGCACUGACUUAGCCCAACUUUUCUCCUCUGCCAUCAUGAUCCAGAGCCCUUGAGAAGGUGGCGGCUCCAUCAGUCUGGGCCCCCAGAAUACCAGUGAUGAACAUGGAGUCUGAGAAGUAAAUAAUCUUUCAACAGAACCCACUGAAAUGAAUGGGAUGUUUCUGACUAUAGCUUAACCUUGCCUUUCCUGACCGGUACACUUACUUGUUUCCCUGCUUGGAGAUACAACACAGCAGACGUCGUUAAUGUUCUAUUUUCUGUGACUAUAAGAAAAAAAAAUGGAACAUACAUCAUGAAAUUCAUUUUAAUAGCUUAAUUUUGACCAACUCUCUGGUUCAAUGUAUUAUUGUUGACCCUUUGUUCUUCAUUCCCAAACUGAGCUCUACACAAAUCGAGCUUUGCUUUAUUUUAAUAGGUACUACACACACACACACACACACACACACACACACACUCAUGUUUCCCUCGUAAAUGAGUUGGGAAUCCAAUACUUUGUCUCAAAGAGCUUCACAAAUGACAGUAGGAUAGUAAAGUGGCUGAUAACCUUCCUUAACACCAUUCAACACGAUGUUUCCCAAACAGAGGGACCCAUGGAACCCUAUUUCUCACCAGACCUUACAUAUUGAGAGAUCUGUGUGCUGUUGAACAAUCUGAGAAAAUUAAAUCUUAGAAACCAAA